AACGAACGCUGGCGGCGUGCCUAACACAUGCAAGUCGUGCGAGAAAGUUCCUUCGGGAGCGAGUAAAGCGGCGCACGGGUGAGUAACACGUAGGUAACCUGCCCCCCAGUCUGGAACAACUAGAGGAAACUCUAGCUAAUGCCGGAUGAGACCACGAUCCCCUUCGGGGGUUGCGGCCAAAGAUGGCCUCUACUUGUAAGCUAUCGCUGAGGGAUGGGCCUGCGGCCAUUAGCUUGUUGGUGAGGUAACGGCUCACCAAGGCUGUGAUGGCUAGCUGGUCUGAGAGGAUGACCAGCCACACUGGGACUGAGACACGGCCCAGACUCCUACGGGAGGCAGCAGUGGGGAAUAUUGCGCAAAUGGGCGAAGCCUGACGCAGCGACGCCGC
rnacentral:rRNA from 1 species